GCGAAGUUGAGUAGUGCGAUCGGUGGAUGCCUUGGCACCAAGAGCCGAUGAAGGACGUUGUGACCUGCGAUAAGCCCUGGGGAGUUGGUGAGCGAGCUGUGAUCCGGGGGUGUCCGAAUGGGGAAACCUGGAAUGUCCGGAGUAGUGUCCGGUGGCCCUGCCCUGAAUGUAUAGGGGUGUGGGUGGUAACGCGGGGAAGUGAAACAUCUUAGUACCCGUAGGAAGAGAAAACAAGUGUGAUUCCGUGAGUAGUGGCGAGCGAAAGCGGAGGAGGCUAAACCGUGUGUGUGUUCAAGCCGGCAGGUGUUGCAUGUGCGGGGUUGUGGGGGCCUUGUGGUUCUGCUGCCGCAGGAUUGGCCAGUGAGAAAUGUUGCGUGAAGGUGAAGCGUCUGGGAAGGCGUACCGGAGUGGGUGAGAGUCCUGUAACUGUAAGCGUGGCACUGGUGUGGGGUUGCCCCGAGUAGCGUGGGACUCGUGGAAUUUCGCGUGAAUCUGGCGGGACCACCCGUCAAGCCUAAAUACUCCUUGGUGACCGAUAGUGGAUGAGUACCGUGAGGGAAGGGUGAAAAGUACCCCGGGAGGGGAGUGAAAGAGUUCCUGAAACCGGUCGCAUGCAAGCCGUCAGAGCCUGUGUGGUGAUGGCGUGCCUUUUGAAGAAUGAGCCUGCGAGUUAGUGAUGCGUGGCGAGGUUAACCCGUGGUGGGGGAGUCGUAGCGAAAGCGAGUCCGAUAAGGGCGUGAGUCGCGUGUUCUAGACCCGAAGCGGUGUGAUCUAUCCAUGGCCAGGAUGAAGCGUCGGUAAGACGUCGUGGAGGUCCGAACCCACUUCAGUUGAAAAUGGAGGGGAUGAGUUGUGGAUAGGGGUGAAAGGCCAAUCAAACACCGUGAUAGCUGGUUCUCCCCGAAAUGCAUUUAGGUGCAGCGUUGCGUGGUUCUUGUUGGAGGUAGAGCACUGGAUGGUCUAGGGGGCUUAUCGGCUUACCGAAAUCAGCCAAACUCCGAAUGCUGGCAAGUGUAGCGUGGC
rnacentral:rRNA from 1 species